rnacentral:rRNA from 1 species
GCUAACACCGUGCAGGCCGGAGCGGGAAUACGGAGGGUGCAAGCGUUAAUCGGAAUUACGGGGCGUAAAGCGAACGCAGGCGGUCUGUCAAGUCGGAUGUGAAAUCCCCGGGCUCAACCUGGGAACUGCAUCGGAAACUGGCAGGCUAGAGUCUUGUAGAGGGGGGUAGAAUUCCAGGUGUAGCGGUGAAAUGCGUAGAGAUCUGGAGGAAUACCGGUGGCGAAGGCGGCCCCCUGGACAAAGACUGACGCUCAGGUGCGAAAGCGUGGGGAGCAAACAGGAUUAGAUACCCGAGUAGUC